rnacentral:rRNA from 1 species
AUUGAACGCUGGCGGCAUGCCUUACACAUGCAAGUCGAACGGCAGCGGACCUUCGGGUGCCGGCGAGUGGCGAACGGGUGAGUAAUGUAUCGGAACGUACCUUUCAGUGGGGGAUAACGUAGCGAAAGUUACGCUAAUACCGCAUAUUCUGUGAGCAGGAAAGCAGGGGAUCGCAAGACCUUGCGCUGAUUGAGCGGCCGAUAUCAGAUUAGCUAGUUGGUGAGGUAAAGGCUCACCAAGGCGACGAUCUGUAGCGGGUCUGAGAGGAUGAUCCGCCGCACUGGAACUGAGACACGGUCCAGACUCCUACGGGAGGCAGCAGUGGGGAAUUUUGGACAAUGGGGGCAACCCUGAUCCAGCCAUGCCGCGUGAGUGAUGAAGGCCUUCGGGUUGUAAAGCUCUUUCGUCCGGGAAGAAAUCGCAUCAGCUAAUACCUGGUGUGGAUGACGGUACCGGAAUAAGAAGCACCGGCUAACUACGUGCCAGCAGCCGCCGUAAAAC